UUGUACAACCAGGCUGCUACUCAAGUUUAGGCAAACAAACUGAAGGAGCUCCUUCUCGCGCAUCUCCAGCUGCAGCAUGAUGGCGCUCAGCUCCAUGUACAGAUUGUUAGCCCGUUCGAGCUUUCUCUCGUAGUGCUCCCGAAUAUCCAGAGCAUGCCUUGACCUGAGCUCCUCCCUGCGCCGGCGAAUCAGUUCUUCAUCUAAUCGGUGUAUACAGGUCCCUUCACUUUUGAUUUUCUCAAAAUGUUUCUUCACUUCUUCUCUCCAUUCAGCCUGUUUCUCCACAGCAGUGGCCAUCAGAACAGCACAGGGUACAGUGAUCUGGACAAAAGUGAUCAGCUGACGGCAAGGGAGUAUGGAGGCAGAAAGAAAGUCCUGCUGACGGAGGUUCACAGGUCUGGGAGGUUCUGAGUCAUCUUCACGUCCGCUGUCACACUGGCUUUGCUUAGGACAAAAACCCAAGAGAAGCUCAGAAGCCCAGCAUCCCAGAGAGACACAGCCCCUGCUUGCACUGUUAGGAGUCCCAUGAGAAUGUCAAGUACACAACCAUGACACAUACGGACAGGUCAGACCUACAUAGGCCCCUGGGAGGCCCUGUGAGCUCUGCUUAGUUGAUUCUGUGGGCCACGUUCUCGUGGUUUCUUCAACCUCCCUGGCUCCUACAAUUCCUCCUCCCUUUCUCACUAGGAUUCCCUAAGCUCCGUCUAAUGUUUGGCUGUGGGUCUCUGCAUCUGCCCCUACCCUAACAUUUAUUUUUGCAUUUAAUUUUUAGUCAAUAAAUAUAUGUAAUAAACUGUCUCUUCUGA
rnacentral:lncRNA from 1 species